UGUGGAUAUAGUUCAGUUGGUAGAAUGCCUGUCCAACAUUCAGGAGGCCCUGGGUUCGAUUCCCAGUACCUCAU